rnacentral:rRNA from 1 species
UACGGAGAGUGCAAGCGUUGUUCGGAAUCAUUGGGCGUAAAGCGCGUGUAGGCGGGCUGUUAAGUCUGGUGUGAAAGACCUCGGCUUAACCGGGGAGGUGCACUGGAUACUGGCAGCCUUGAGUACGGGAGAGGGAGGUGGAAUUCCGAGUGUAGAGGUGAAAUUCGUAGAUAUUCGGAGGAACACCGGUGGCGAAGGCGGCCUCCUGGACCGAUACUGACGCUGAGACGCGAAAGUGUGGGGAGCAAACAGG